GCCUUCGUGGUGUAACGGUAGCACACUCGGCAAAUAUUCCAGAGAUCUAGGGUUCAAGUCCCGGCGAGGUCA
rnacentral:tRNA from 1 species